rnacentral:rRNA from 1 species
GGUUCAGAACGUCGUGAGACAGUUCGGUCCCUAUCCGUCGUGGGCGUAGGAAAUUUGAGAGGAGCUGUCCUUAGUACGAGAGGACCGGGAUGGACAUACCUCUGGGGUACCAGUUGUCGUGCCAACGGCAUAGCUGGGUAGCUAUGUGUGGACGGGAUAAGUGCUGAAAGCAUCUAAGCAUGAAGCCCCCCUCAAGAUGAGAUUUCCCAACUUCGGUUAUAAGAUCCCUCAAAGAUGAUGAGGUUAAUAGGUUCGAGGUGGAAGCAUGGUGACAUGUGGAGCUGACGAAUACUAAUCGAUCGAAGACUUAAUCAAAA